UACGGAGGAUGCAAGCGUUAUCCGGAAUUAUUGGGCGUAAAGCGUCCGUAGGUGGUUGAGUAAGUCUGCUGUUAAAGCGUGGAGCUUAACUCAAUAGCGGCAGUGGAAACUACUUGACUUGAGUGCGGUAGGGGUCAGGGGAAUUCCCAGUGUAGCGGUGAAAUGCGUAGAUAUUGGGAAGAACACCGGUGGCGAAAGCGCCUGACUGUGCCUGCACUGACACUGAUGGACGAAAGCUAGUGGAGCGAAAGGG
rnacentral:rRNA from 1 species